rnacentral:rRNA from 1 species
CCCCCCCGAAUUGUGGUCUAGAGAGGCGCCAUCGGCCGCGCGCGUCGCCCAAAUCCCUUGGAACAGGGUAUCGGAGAAGGUGAGAAUCCUGUGCCGUGGCGCGUUGCGGCCUCACGAUGCGUCCUCGUCGAGUCGGGUUGCUUGGGAUUGCAGCUUGAAGUGGGUGGUAAAUUCCAUCUAAAGCUAAAUAUGGGCGAGAGACCGAUAGCGAACAAGUACCGUGAGGGAAAGAUGCAAAGAACUUUGAAAAGAGAGUCAAAGAGUGCUUGAAAUUGGCAGGAGGAAACCCGGUUGCGCCCGGCCUCGUCGCGUCGACUCAGCCGUCGGUGUGUGCCUGUGGUGACUUUGGCACCUUUGGCGUCGCUCCGUCGGUGCACUUUGACGCGUCGGGUCAGCCGCCGCCCUGCUCGCGUGAGAAGGCGUGCCCCAAGGCUUCGGCACGGGGUGCGACGCGUCGCGAACGGAGCGCCGGCUGACGGAACGGGUGCAACCGACCCGUCUAGAAACACGGACCAAGGAGUCUGACACGUGUGCGAGUACCCGGGUGUGUACGCCCGCGUGCGCAAUGAAAGUGAAGGGCAUGCCCUGCCAACCGACCUUGACCUUCUGCGAAGGGUUUGAGUGGAGCACAUGUGUCGGGACCCGAAAGAUGGUGAACUAUGCCUGAGGAGGGUGAAGCCAGAGGAAACUCUGGUGGAGGCUCGUAGCGAUACUGACGUGCAAAUCGUUCGUCGAACUUGGGUAUAGGGGCGAAAGACUAAUCGAACCAUCUAGUAGCUGGUUCCCUCCGAAGUUUCCCUCAGGAUAGCUUGAGCGCGUGUACGGUUUUGU